rnacentral:lncRNA from 1 species
UUCCCAGAAUCCUCUUUGAUUCCUAGACCUGUCUAACUUGCUGUCUCAUUGGCCAAACAGUAUUUUAUCAUCCAGUAAGACAAACACAGAGAAGCACUUCCCCCAUCAUUUCUCCACUGUUAUUCACCAACAACCACUGUAUAUCCUUUAUAUCCUUUUAAUAUUUUUAGGUUUCCCAUAAUAUAUCCUUUCCUAAGUCUUUUUUUUUUUUUUUUUUUUUGUACAGGACUAUCAUCUGACCUGAACUACUACCAUCUUCAGGAGUCCAUCUGUGUCACGGGCCAUGAAGAUACAGAUUAUAAAAGAAACUGUUGUGAGGAGCUGGCUUUGAAUCAUGUUAUUCGCUUUAACCCUUGUGAAGACUCAGGGAGUCCUCUCCUGGGUGAGAGGUCUCUGUGGGUGAUGAUAGCUGCUAUUCUGUGCAGCCUAGGAUCUGUUCCUCUAGUGCAAUGAACCAGGACAGAGGGAAGUCAAACUCGAGAUACCUUCUUCUCUAAGAUCAGGAAGCACACAGUCACAGAAGCUUUCUUCAGGAGCCUGCACCAGGACUAUAGACUGCUCCUUAGGAAGUCACACAGGUUUCACUCUUCCCAUAUCUGCAAUCUCCGUACUUCGUUACUUUGUCAUUUUCCCUGGGAAAAGUCUCUGUAAUAGCAACAAAAGGCUUUCCCACAUCUAGAUCACUAGCUUCUCUGAUGAUUUACUCUCCUUUCUGUAUGUUUGUGCUGAUUCAUUAAUCAUUUGCGAUCGUCACUCCUAAGAACAAGAUGUCACCUCCUUUCUUUCCUCAAGCCCAAAGAGGUCUUUGCUUUCUUUUGUAGUUGGUGUCAAAGCCAGCGGUGAGUGAUUUAUUUUAGUCUGAGAGAAGAUAAGUCUUGUUUUUUGGAUUAGAGCAGGAUAAAGAAGUGCUCCCAAGUCUGCUUUAUUAUAGAGGAUGACAUAGGGCAUGCUCCUUCUUACUGAGUUUGAAGCCGUCCCUGCUCUAGGGAGACCUAUUUAAACAAAUGGAAUGGGUCCCCAGGAAUCCUUUUUAUCACAUAUAAAAAAAGUUUGAAAAUACUGCCUCUUUUUCCUUAUUGGAUACUAGAUUCAUCUCAUGGGUCUAUAGGGCAUUUCUUAGAACGUGUGGUCAAGUUUAAAGUUUAAUAGUUUUUCUUGGCCCUCACGCUAUAUGUUCAUUCUGGGGCUUGUAGGUAACAAUAUUGAUCCCAUAUAAUUAGGUCAUUGUAGUGAUAUCUUGUUUGUACUUUACAAAUAAAGCUUAGCUGAAGAUCA